rnacentral:rRNA from 1 species
UACGUAGGUGACCAGCGUUGUCCGGAUUUACUGGGCGUAAAGAGCGCGCAGGCGGUCGUUCAAGUCGAGUGUGAAAGCCCCCGGCUCAACUGGGGAGGGUCACUCGAUACUGAUCGACUGGAAGGCAGGAGAGGGAAGCGGAAUUCCCGGUGUAGUGGUGAAAUGCGUAGAUAUCGGGAGGAACACCAGUGGCGAAGGCGGCUUCCUGGCCUGUUCUUGACGCUGAGGCGCGAAAGCUAGGGGAGCGAACAGG